rnacentral:rRNA from 1 species
AGAGUUUGAUCAUGGCUCAGGAUGAACGCUAGCUACAGGCUUAACACAUGCAAGUCGAGGGGCAGCAUGUUGGUUGCUUGCAACCAACGAUGGCGACCGGCGCACGGGUGAGUAACGCGUAUCCAACCUACCCUUGUCCAUCGGAUAACCCGUCGAAAGGCGGCCUAACACGAUAUGCGGUUCACGGCAGGCAUCUAAGGUGAACGAAAUGUGAAGGAGAAGGAUGGGGAUGCGUCUGAUUAGCUUGUUGGCGGGGUAGCGGCCACAAGGCUACGAUCAGUAGGGGUUCUGAGAGGAACGGUCCCCCACUAUUGGAACUGAGACACGGUCCAAACUCCGUACGGGAGGCA